rnacentral:rRNA from 1 species
UUAGUGGCGGACGGGUGAGUAACGCGUGGAUAACCUGCCGUAUACAGGGGGAUAACACUUAGAAAUAGGUGCUAAUACCGCAUAAGCGCACGGUUCCGCAUGGAACAGUGUGAAAAACUCCGGUGGUAUACGAUGGAUCCGCGUCUGAUUAGCCAGUUGGCGGGGUAACGGCCCACCAAAGCGACGAUCAGUAGCCGGCCAGAGAGGGUGAACGGCCACAUUGGGACUGAGACACGGCCCAAACUCCUACGGGAGGCAGCAG